rnacentral:rRNA from 1 species
ACACAUGCAAGUCGAGCGGCAGCACGGGGAGCUUGCUCCCUGGUGGCGAGCGGCGGACGGGUGAGUAAUGCAUAGGAAUCUGCCCGGUAGUGGGGGAUAACGUGGGGAAACCCACGCUAAUACCGCAUACGUCCUACGGGAGAAAGCGGAGGAUCUUCGGACUUCGCGCUAUCGGAUGAGCCUAUGUCGGAUUAGCUAGUUGGUAAGGUAACGGCUUACCAAGGCGACGAUCCGUAGCUGGUCUGAGAGGAUGAUCAGCCACACUGGGACUGAGACACGGCCCAGACUCCUACGGGAGGCAGCAGUGGGGAAUAUUGGACAAUGGGCGAAAGCCUGAUCCAGCCAUGCCGCGUGUGUGAAGAAGGCUUUCGGGUUGUAAAGCACUUUCAGCGAGGAAGAAAGCCUCUGGGUUAAUACCCCAGAGGAAGGACAUCACUCGCAGAAGAAGCACCGGCUAACUCCGUGCCAGCAGCCGCGGUAAUACGGAGGGUGCGAGCGUUAAUCGGAAUUACUGGGCGUAAAGCGCGCGUAGGUGGCUUGGCACGCCGGUUGUGAAAGCCCCGGGCUCAACCUGGGAACGGCAUCCGGAACGGCCAGGCUAGAGUGCAGGAGAGGAAGGUAGAAUUCCCGGUGUAGCGGUGAAAUGCGUAGAGAUCGGGAGGAAUACCAGUGGCGAAGGCGGCCUUCUGGCCUGACACUGACACUGAGGUGCGAAAGCGUGGGUAGCAAACAGGAUUAGAUACCCUGGUAGUCCACGCCGUAAACGAUGUCGACUAGCCGUUGGGACCUUUAAGGACUUAGUGGCGCAGUUAACGCGAUAAGUCGACCGCCUGGGGAGUACGGCCGCAAGGUUAAAACUC